rnacentral:rRNA from 1 species
UAGUUUGAUCCCCUGCUCAGGACGAACGCUGGCGGCGUGCUUAACACAUGCAAGUCGAACGAUGAUGCCCAGCUUGCUGGGUGGAUUAGUGGCGAACGGGUGAGUAACACGUGAGUAACCUGCCCCUGACUCUGGGAUAAGCGUUGGAAACGACGUCUAAUACUGGAUAUGACUGCCGGCCGCAUGGUCUGGUGGUGGAAAGAUUUUUUGGUUGGGGAUGGACUCGCGGCCUAUCAGCUUGUUGGUGAGGUAAUGGCUCACCAAGGCGACGACGGGUAGCCGGCCUGAGAGGGUGACCGGCCACACUGGGACUGAGACACGGCCCAGACUCCUACGGGAGGCAGCAGUGGGGAAUAUUGCACAAUGGGCGAAAGCCUGAUGCAGCAACGCCGCGUGAGGGAUGACGGCCUUCGGGUUGUAAACCUCUUUUAGUAGGGAAGAAGGGAGCUUGCUCUUGACGGUACCUGCAGAAAAAGCACCGGCUAACUACGUGCCAGCAGCCGCGGUAAUACGUAGGGUGCAAGCGUUGUCCGGAAUUAUUGGGCGUAAAGAGCUCGUAGGCGGUUUGUCGCGUCUGCUGUGAAAUCCCGAGGCUCAACCUCGGGCUUGCAGUGGGUACGGGCAGACUAGAGUGCGGUAGGGGAGAUUGGAAUUCCUGGUGUAGCGGUGGAAUGCGCAGAUAUCAGGAGGAACACCGAUGGCGAAGGCAGAUCUCUGGGCCGUAACUGACGCUGAGGAGCGAAAGCAUGGGGAGCGAACAGGAUUAGAUACCCUGGUAGUCCAUGCCGUAAACGUUGGGCGCUAGAUGUAGGGACCUUUCCACGGUUUCUGUGUCGUAGCUAACGCAUUAAGCGCCCCGCCUGGGGAGUACGGCCGCAAGGCUAAAACUCAAAGGAAUUGACGGGGGCCCGCACAAGCGGCGGAGCAUGCGGAUUAAUUCGAUGCAACGCGAAGAACCUUACCAAGGCUUGACAUACACCGGAAACGGCCAGAGAUGGUCGCCCCCUUGUGGUCGGUGUACAGGUGGUGCAUGGUUGUCGUCAGCUCGUGUCGUGAGAUGUUGGGUUAAGUCCCGCAACGAGCGCAACCCUCGUUCUAUGUUGCCAGCGCGUUAUGGCGGGGACUCAUAGGAGACUGCCGGGGUCAACUCGGAGGAAGGUGGGGAUGACGUCAAAUCAUCAUGCCCCUUAUGUCUUGGGCUUCACGCAUGCUACAAUGGCCGGUACAAAGGGCUGCGAUACCGUAAGGUGGAGCGAAUCCCAAAAAGCCGGUCUCAGUUCGGAUUGAGGUCUGCAACUCGACCUCAUGAAGUCGGAGUCGCUAGUAAUCGCAGAUCAGCAACGCUGCGGUGAAUACGUUCCCGGGCCUUGUACACACCGCCCGUCAAGUCAUGAAA